UAAGGAAAGCUGUUUAGAGUCAGGCCAUGGCAGUUCUCAGUGACAAUAUCAUUAGGCUCUCCCUGAAAAAUCUCUUGUAUCCUUGAGAGCACUAGCUUCUUCUGUGAUGUAAUAAGUGUUGUCCUGACUGCAAAUGCCUCUCAGAUAUUACUUCAGUACCUAUAGGUUUUACUAAUUGGCCUCAAAUUCAGGGGAAACAGUCAUUAGGGAGGGAGAACAAAGACGAUGAAGAAAUCAGAGAUGGGGAGAACGAAGCUGGUCUUCUGUCUUGGUAUAAAAGAAGGAAGAAAUACAUCAUCCCUGAGAAAUCUCACUGAAGCCUUGGUAGGAGUGGAAUAUGAAAAAUAGUCCUGAGGAAGGAGGGACAACAAGUAUUGUAUCGUCAUGUCAUCUCAAGAAAAACUCUCAAAACUCAUCCUGGCUGACAAUGUAGAUUAGACGCAUCAGAUGAAAUGAAUUGAAAAACUCUCCUGGGAAUGAAAGUGGUAAGGAAAUCACAUUGAUGUAUCCUAAAUGCAGUGCUAAGAGCAAUAUUCAGACUAGUCUGUGGAGAUGCUGCUGUCAUCAGAGACCACAGACAAUUAGUGGAGAAUGAUUCAGCAUUAAACUGGGAAUGGAAGAUGAUGGUUGAUAUUGUUCUAGUAGAUCUCACUACAUUAAAAAGUGUUUCUUCCAGA